CUCCGCUGGGUGUCUCUACCAGAAACCACUGUUCCUGACAGAGGGUCCCCUCCAUUAAUCUCCCCUGUCUGGGCUCCAGUGACCACGCACGCCUUCCCUUGCGCCUUCAGCCUUGCAGCUUCUUCUUUUAUAAGGUUAGAAGCACAGGAGAUGCUUACAGUUCUUAUGACUGGUUCCUGAAAGUGCUGCUGAAGAUCCCAAUGGAAGGCUGAGGCCAAAGUAAAGGGAAUGUUGAGUGAUUGCACGGAGAGGCCAAAGGAACAUGUGAUCAUCCAUUCACCUUGUCACUCAGUGGGCUCACGGCAAUGCAGGGAGCCGGAGGAUCCUGUGAUGCUGCUGAGGGCUGGGGAGCCUUGGAGACAGAGGCGAGGGAACAGGGUCCUGGUGACUUUCAGACAAAC
rnacentral:lncRNA from 10 species